CUGUGUGAAUUGCAGAAUCCCGUGAACCAUCGAGUCUUUGAACGCAAGUUGCGCCCGAAGCCAUCCGGUUGAGGGCACGUCUGCCUGGGCGUC
rnacentral:rRNA from 1 species